GAUGAACGCUGGCGGCGUGCCUAAUACAUGCAAGUCGAGCGAAUGGAUUAAGAGCCUGCUCUUAUGAAGUUAGCGGCGGACGGGUGAGUAACACGUGGGUAACCUGCCCAUAAGACUGGGAUAACUCCGGGAAACCGGGGCUAAUACCGGAUAACAUUUUGAACCGCAUGGUUCGAAAUUGAAAGGCGGCUUCGGCUGUCACUUAUGGAUGGACCCGCGUCGCAUUAGCUAGUUGGUGAGGUAACGGCUCACCAAGGCAACGAUGCGUAGCCGACCUGAGAGGGUGAUCGGCCACACUGGGACUGAGACACGGCCCAGACUCCUACGGGAGGCAGCAGUAGGGAAUCGUCCGCAAUGGACGAAAGUCUGACGGAGCAACGCCGCGUGAGUGAUGAUGGCUUUCGGGUCGUAAAACUCUGUUGUUAGGGAAGAACAAGUGCUAGUUGAAUAAGCUGGCACCUUGACGGUACCUAACCAGAAAGCCACGGCUAACUACGUGCCAGCCGCCGCAGUAA
rnacentral:rRNA from 1 species